rnacentral:rRNA from 1 species
UACGUAGGUGGCAAGCGUUGUCCGGAUUUACUGGGCGUAAAGAGCGCGCAGGCGGUCGGAUCAGUCGAAUGUGAAAGCCCCCGGCUCAACUGGGGAGGGUCAUUCGAUACUGUCCGACUCGAAGGCAGGAGAGGGAAGCGGAAUUCCCGGUGUAGUGGUGAAAUGCGUAGAUAUCAGGAGGAACACCGGUGGCGAAGGCGUUCAUCUGGCCCGAUACUGACGCUGAGGCGCGAAAGCUAGGGGAGCAAACGGG